rnacentral:lncRNA from 1 species
UUUUAUUUGGUUUAUUAUUUGUGUAGCAUAUAAGUGCCUAAAGCACCAGUUAAAUUUUUGAGCUUCAGGGAAGUUAAACACAAGCCCCAUCUAUGGAGGAACUGUUCAACUGAUUUGGUCCUCUUGUAAGCUUUGGUAAAGUAUAACAGGACUGUUUUAUGAGCGAAGUGUACGGAGACGUAAGAGUGUGAAAAAAUUGGGGGUUAAAAAAAUGGAUUUAGAAUUUGUUGUGGAAAAGCUUCAACAGAUGGCACCACUUCAUUUGGCUGAGUUGUGGGACAAUGUUGGACUUUUAGUUGAACCAUCAGAACCAUUAC